rnacentral:rRNA from 1 species
GUGAGGAAUAUUGCGCAAUGGAGGCAACUCUGACGCAGCCAUGCCGCGUGCAGGAAGAAGGCGCUACGCGUUGUAAACUGCUUUUAACCGGGAAGAAACCCCAGGACGUGUCCUGGGUUGACGGUACCGGAGGAAUAAGCCCCGGCUAACUUCGUGCCAGCAGCCGCGGUAAUACGAAGGGUGCAAGCGUUAUCCGGAUUCAUCGGGUUUAAAGUGUGCGUAGGCGGAGCGUUAAGUCAGUGGUGAAUUCCUGCAGCUUAACUGUAGACUUGCCAUUGAUACUGGCGCUCUUGAGUGCGCUUGAAGUGGGCGGAAUGUGCCGUGUAGCGGUGAAAUGCUUAGAUAUGGCACAGAACACCAAUUGCGAAGGCAGCUCACUAAGGCGAUACUGACGCUGAGGCACGAAAGCGUGGGGAUCGAACAGGAUUAGAAACCCGUGUAGUCC